rnacentral:tRNA from 1 species
ACAGUGGUGGUUCAGUAGUAGAGUUCUCAUUUUCCACGUGGGAGACCCAGGUUCAAUUUCUGGCCAACGCA